GGACAGCCUCCUGGCGUGAGUGCAGCCUUCCACCUUCUUCGUGACAGGCUUCUUGUCCACCUUGCAAGCACUGGACUAGCUGGCUCAAGCGCUUCAGAAUCAGGACUCCACCUCCUACUGCCGUAGGCCGUUGGCAUUGGAGACACAUGGGCUGCCUGCGUAGGUGUGUCUCGAAAACAUUUCAAGCUGUUUCCAAAUGACUGUUUGGAGGGGAACUAGGUCAGCACUGCUCCAGCCAUCCAUGCCCGGCCGCUUAAGCAGACUGGUUCUGGACCAGCUCUUCCAAACAGUGUGACUGGCACCCAUGGCAGUUCCUGUGCUCAGCACUGAGGAUGCUGAAACGGUCUUUGUUCGGACACUCAGCCUGGUAGAACUCAAGGCAAAGGCAGAGCUUGAACCCGUGGCAGGGAGAUCCAGCAGCGUGGUGUCUGGGGCUGAAAGCUUUGGAGACAGGGUCUUGCCCUGAAUCUCAAACUACGAAUUCAGCCGGACUAGGCACCCAGCAAGCCCCAAGGGUGCUGCUGUCUCCACUUCCCCAGUACUCGGAUUUCAGGGUGCUGAGAAGCCAAACCCAGGUCCUCAUGUGUACACAGCAAGCCCUUUACUGACUGAAUCAUCUCUGGAGCCCCAAAGACCAUCUUAGGACACAUGGCACCAUGACUUUGGAGAGUCCCUCGGACAGCUGUUCGGGAGGGAGGCUGCAUUCGAGGGAGUGCAGGGGAGGCUGAUGGCAGGGUCUGGAGGAAGGCUGGCUAGAAUGUGGCUUUAAGGGCCUUGCUUGUGGUCCAGUUGGACAUGUGGAGUCAGAAGUCAGCCCUGGUGUAUCUGGGCCACUUACCGUGGCAACAGGAGUAUCCUAUAAACCUCCUUGCUGCUUUUGUGACGGGGCCUGAGGCGGGGGGCAGUUGCAGGGGCUCUUGGUCAUGACCACUCCUUCAAGGGUCCUGCCUCCUAGCCAAGAUGUGGCAGAGGCUUUGAUCUUUGCUGCCCUUCAAGUAAAAAAAACAAGAGCCAGGUGGGCCUGGGGAGAGUAGGAGGGCGUGCCUAGCUCUGGCAGCGCCAGCAACGGGCAGUGGCGACUCACUGGCUCUCGGAGCAGCUAGGAGCGGAACUGUGUCCUUCAGCGUGGAGCCCAGAUCCUCCCGGCCCAGCUGUCUUUCCUGUGCUCAGAAGAAGGGAAAAGACGGUGGCCCACAGCCUCCGAGACGGCCCAACGCCCAAUGUUGUCUCUCCUUCCGGAUAGAGUGAAGCAUCUCAUGCACUUUUAGCUGGUGUGGUGGUUCACACUUGUAAACCUAGCAGUUGGAAAGCAAAGGCAGAGGACUGCUAUGAACUUGAGCCCAGCCUGGUCUACAUGUCAAGUUCUGGGCUAUCCAGGGCUAUGUAAAAAGACACUAUUUAAAAAAAAAAUGCUGUUGCUCUGGAAUGACGUUUGGGUCAAAGUGGUAAUACUGCCAAGAGCCUUGAAAGGCUUGACCAUCUCUCGGUUUACAAGUACUCUAGCAGCACGGAGUGUGGAAAUCCCCAGAGGCACACGGGCCAGCCCGUCCCUCAGACAGCCAGCACUGAAGAAGUAGGUACGGAGGGGACACAGCGGACAUCCGGACAAUGCAGCCAUCUGAACAAUGCAUCACUCUGCAGCCCGAGUGUGCUGUGGAAACACUCAAAGACGAGGAGAGUUUUUCAUUGCCUAUUCGUGGAGACAAAGGUAAUAAAAAUAUGGCAUAUGGCCACAAUGACUUAA